rnacentral:rRNA from 1 species
GACGUAGGAUGCAAGCGUUGUCCGGAUUUAUUGGGCGUAAAGAGUUCGUAGGCGGUUCGUUAAGUCUGAUGUUAAAGAUCGGGGCCCAACCCUGAGAGUGCAUUGGAUACUGGCGAACUGGAGUGCAGUAGAGGCGAGUGGAAUUCCCAGUGUAGCGGUGAAAUGCGUAGAUAUUGGGAAGAACACCGGUGGCGUAGGCGACUCGCUGGGCUGUAACUGACGCUGAGGAACGAAAAGCCAGGGGAGCGAAUGGG